CAAGUCGAACGGGGUCCAUGCUGUAGCAAUACAGCGGAAGACCUAGUGGCGAACGGGUGAGUAUCACGUGAGAAACCAACCCCGGUCUCUGGGAUAACAGGUGGAAACACCUGCUAAUACCGGAUGCCGUCGUUUCCUCGCAUGGGGAGAUGACGAAAGGGCUACCGGAUCGGGACGGUCUCGCGGCCUAUCAGCUUGUUGGGGAGGUAACGGCUCACCAAGGCUUCGACGGGUAGCUGGUCUGAGAGGGUGAUCAGCCACACUGGGACUGAGACACGGCCCAGACUCCUACGGGAGGCAGCAGUGGGGAAUCUUGCGCAAUAGGCGAAAGCCUGACGCAGCAACGCCGCGUACGGGAUGAAGGCCUUCGGGUUGUAAACCGCUUUUACCAGGAAGGAAAAUGACAGUACCUGGAGAAUAAGGUGCGGCCAACUACGUGCCAGCAGCCGCGGUGACACGUAGGCACCAAGCGUUGUCCGGAUUUAUUGGGCGUAAAGAGCUCGUAGGCGGUUCAGUAAGUCGGGUGUGAAAACUCUGGGCUCAACUCAGAGACGCCACCCGAUACUGCUGUGACUUGAGUCCGGUAGGGGAGUGGGGAAUUCCUGGUGUAGCGGUGAAAUGCGCAGAUAUCAGGAGGAACACCAAUGGCGAAGGCACCACUCUGGGCCGAGACUGACGCUGAGGAGCGAAAGCGUGGGUAGCAAACAGGAUUAGAUACCCUGGUAGUCCACGCUGUAAACGGUGGGCACUAGGUGUGGGUUCCAACCAACGGAAUCCGCGCCGGCGCUAACGCAUUAAGUGCCCCGCCUGGGGAGUACGGCCGCAAGGUUAAAACUCAAAGGAAUUGACGG
rnacentral:rRNA from 1 species